rnacentral:rRNA from 1 species
UAAGGAAUAUUGGUCAAUGGACGAAAGUCUGAACCAGCCAUGCCGCGUGGAGGAUGAAGGUCCUCUGGAUUGUAAACUUCUUUUAUCUGGGACGAAAAAAGGUCUUUCUAGAUCGUCUGACGGUACCAGAUGAAUAAGCACCGGCUAACUCCGUGCCAGCAGCCGCGGUAAUACGGAGGGUGCAAGCGUUAUCCGGAUUCACUGGGUUUAAAGGGUGCGUAGGUGGGUUGGUAAGUCAGUGGUGAAAUCUUCGAGCUUAACUCGGAAACUGCCAUUGAUACUAUCAGUCUUGAAUAUUGUGGAGGUUAGCGGAAUAUGUCAUGUAGCGGUGAAAUGCUUAGAUAUGACAUAGAACACCAAUUGCGAAGGCAGCUGGCUACACAUAUAUUGACACUGAGGCACGAAAGCGUGGGGAUCAAACAGGAUUAGAUACCCUGGUAGUCCACGCCCUAAACUAUGGAUACUCGACAUACGCGAUACACUGUGUGUGUCUGAGCGAAAGCAUUAAGUAUCCCCACCUGGGAAGUACGAUCGCAAGAUUGAAACUCAAAUGAAUUGACGGGGUCAUAGCUGUUUCCUG